UGUAACUAGGUAUGACGCAACCAUUCCCAUGUCAGCCUGGAUUUUAUUGUCCAGUUGGGGCAUCUAAUCAGCAUCCAUGUCCUCCAGGGAGUUAUGGGAACCUGUCUGGAUUGGCCGAGUCUUCUGAAUGCUCUCAAUGUGACCCUGGGACCUAUUGUAUGGGGUCAGGAAAUGUGUCACCAACUGGCUCUUGCAGUGCUGGAUUCUUGUGUUUUGGAGGAGCCGUCCUUCCCUCCCCAAAUGAUAAUGAGACUGGAAUACUGUGUGCAACUGGGUCUUACUGUCCAGCUGGAAGUUUUGCAGGAAUACCUUGUCCCAAGGGCACAUUUAGCAAUCAGCGUCAAUUGUCAGAUGUAAGUCAAUGCCAAAACUGCACACCAGGGUUUUAUUGCUCAGAGCCAGGCCUGACCACAGUCAGUGGACCCUGCUUGCCAGGGUUUUUCUGCAGUGAAGGAUCUCCGACUUCAGCUCCUGUGUCAGCCGUGUAUGGUGAUAUUUGUCCUCCAGGUCACUAUUGUGAAAUUGGUAGUGCUGUGCCAACUCCCUGUCCAGUGGGCAGCUGGCACCCUGAUAGUGGGGGAAAGGGCACAGAUGAUUGCAUGCCUUGCCCUGGAGGUACUGUGUUACUCCAUUUUAGAGAUAUACUGUAUGCUCCUUUGACUUUAUAUAGCUCCA
ensembl:lncRNA